AGAGUUUGAUCCUGGCUCAGGACGAACGCUGGCGGCGCGCUUAACACAUGCAAGUCGAGCGAGAACCAUCCCUUCGGGGAUGGGGAAAGCGGCGAACGGGUGAGUAACACGUGGGUAAUCUGCCCUCGGUUCCGGGAUAGCCCGGGGAAACCCCGGCUAAUACCCCGUACGCUUGUGGGGUCGCAUGGCCCGGCAAGGAAAGGUAGCUUCGGCCAUCCGGCGAGGGAUGGGCCCGCGGUACAUUAGCUAGUUGGUGGGGUAACGGCUCACCAAGGCGACGAUGGAUAGCUGGUCUGAGAGGAUGAUCAGCCACACUGGGACUGAGACACGGCCCAGACUCCUACGGGAGGCAGCAGUCGGGAAUCUUGCGCAAUGGGCGAAAGCCUGACGCAGCAACACCGUGUGGGCGACGAAGGCCUUCGGGUCGUAAAGCCCUGUUGUUGGGGACGAAGGGCGAAGGGUUAAUAGCCCCUAGUCUGACGGUACCCUUCGAGGAAGCCCCGGCUAACUACGUGCCAGCAGCCGCGGUAAUACGUAGGGGGCGAGCGUUGUCCGGAAUUAUUGGGCGUAAAGAGCGUGUAGGCGGUUCGGUAAGUCUGCCGUGAAAACCCGGGGCUCAACCCUGGGCGUGCGGUGGAUACUGCCGGGCUAGAGGGUGGUAGAGGCGAGUGGAAUUCCCGGUGUAGCGGUGAAAUGCGCAGAUAUCGGGAGGAACACCAGUAGCGAAGGCGGCUCGCUGGGCCAUUCCUGACGCUGAGACGCGAAAGCUAGGGGAGCGAACAGGAUUAGAUACCCCAGUAGUCC
rnacentral:rRNA from 1 species